UCGCGGGCUGCACUGGUUCCGGCUCCCUGUCUCUCCAUAGGGAGUCCGGACAGAUCACUGACAUGCUAGACUAAACCACAUGGAGUUAACAGGGCCACCAGUCUCCGAGCACAGGCUGAGUGGUAGUAUAAUACUCCAACAUGC